GAGAUGAAGAGCAGCCGGAGCAGCAGCUCCAGCUCCUCUUCAUCUUCU
rnacentral:ncRNA from 2 species